AUGGAGUUGGAGGGGCAGUGGUGGCGAGGGCAGCUGGCCGCCGACAUUCACCAAGCACUUCGCUACAGGGAGCUGAAGUUGCCCUCCUGUAAAGGCCAGUCCCCUCAAUUAAGUCUCAGACGGUAUUUUGCUGACUUGAUUUGCCACUGUGAGCAAUUGCUUCCAUGCCUUUGCCCUUCUGCCCGCCAUCUUGCUGUCUAGUUUACUGGACCUGUUCAUGGACCGCUAUGACAUCUCUAUCCAGCAGCUGCAUUGAGUUGCGCUUUCCUGCCUGCUUCUAGCAAGUAAAUUUGAAGAAAAAGAAGAAAGUGUGUCUAAGCUGGAGCAGCUCAACAGCCUGGGUUGUAUGACUAAUAUGAAUCUAGUAUUAACAAAACAAAAUUUGCUACAUAUGGAACUAUUAUUAUUAGAAACCUUUCAGUGGAACCCCUGCCUUCCAACAGCCGCCCAUUUCAUUGAGUAUUAUCUCUCUGAAGCAGAACACAAAACAGGUCUUCAUGACGGCUGGCCAAUGAUUUGCUUGGAAAAGACUAAAUUCUAAAUGGCCAAAUGUGCAGAUUACUUCCUGGAAGUAUCUUUGUAAGAUUACGCCUUUCUAAAGUAUGCACCUUUAGUAGCUGCUGCGUAUGUGGCUUCUGCGAGGAUUAUACUUCGUCUUUCUCCAACGUGGCCUACAAGACUGCAUCGUCUUACUGCUUACUCUUGGGAUUUCUUAGUGCAGUGUAUUGAACAGCUAUUGAUCGCUCAUGAUAAUGAUGUGAAAGAAGCAAACAAACGGAGAGGGCAAGCAGGACCUCAGUCAGCACAACUAAGUGUGUUCCAGAAAGCCUCCCAGCCCUCACGGCUAGUUCAUUUUCAGCAACCUCAAUAUCUCCAUUAGACACCUCAGACCUCACUGCAGUAUCGCCAUCCUAGUCAGAACCACCAAGCUGUCAGCAUAUUGUAUCGACCACACACACUUCAUCUUACACACUACAGACAUGUCCUGCUGGCUUCCAAGCUAGUGUUCAGGGCCUUGGGCACAUGCAGACUAGUAUUGGAAUGUCACUGGCAAUACCAGUAGAAGUUAAGCCUUGUCUGAGUGUUUCUUAUAACCGGAGUUAUCAGAUAAAUAAACAUUACCCUUGUAUUACUUCGUGUUUUGAAAAG
rnacentral:lncRNA from 1 species